CCAACCCGGUGGUGGAGAUGAAGGGGUGUAGGAGCAAGCGGGUGCUGGAGAGGAGAGGGGCCGUGAUCCUCUUGGAGCCAGGGACAGCGUCCUCGGUCCAUUAUCUGAACAUUCAGUCACCGCCCAAGAUGCCAACGCAUUCAGAACAGAGCCGAGAGGUUUGUUUGUUCCUGGCGAGGGAGCUCUUUCUAACCUAGGCAGAAGCAGCUAGCCUUCUGAAAUACCCCGGGGCAGGAAUCCCAGGGCUGCUUCCCACCUCCGGACUUCUCAGGUACCUAGCCCCUCUUCCUGGGCUCUCACCCGGGCCAGCGCCCCCACCCCCAAACAGACUUCCAUCUCUUUUCCAAAUCCUCUUCAGCGGCCACGCUGAGGUGCCCCUUCGCCUACAUUAUCAGAGCCUUUCCACCCCCCUCACCCAUUGGCAGAUCUCAUCCUCUGCUGCCUCAGGCAACCUCAAGAGGGAUCUUUUCCUCCCAAAAUCACUUACUUCACCCAUCCAGAUCAGCACUUGCAUUUCCCAUAGCACAUAACCAUAACCGAAAGCCACUCUGAGGAUUUUUAUUAUCGACUUGGGGGUGGCAGGAUCCAGCGAUCUGACCCUCACCGCUCUUGAUGAAGACAUUUAACAGUGGCAUUAAGUUCCACCUCUCCUGGUUAGCCCUACCCCUUCCCAUCUGCGACAGGCAAGAGAAGCACUACUAGAUCCUAAGCCCUUGCCUCUGAAUCCGGAGCUGUGGGAAGCAAAGAGUCGAACUGCAAGAACACAGUGAGAGAAAUGGGCAGAUGCCUUAAGGCUAGGGGAGCUGGGGGAAGGGCGCACGCGAGAACUGAACAGAUACCGCACCAGCAACCAGAAAUCAAGUCCAGCUCAGCAAAGUAUGUUCUUUAAUAUGAGGAGCUGAUUGGUUGUGUCCUCUGCUUCUGCUGACAUCCGAUUAAAAGAAUGAAACAGGAGAAAGAUAGCUUCUUGGAAGCCCUACUUAUGAUCUAAUUAGUGAGUCAGAGAAGGGACUUAGCAUCUCUGACCUUCAUGCUCAACUUCAUGGCCUUUCUGCUUCAGAGUAGAACAAGCAAACUCAGUUAAAAUGCCAGAGAUUUUCAAGGAAUGGAACAAAGAAAGCAGAAUGACAGGAAUGAAAGACACUGAAAAAGUCCUCACUGGCAGUAAUUUAUUCUUGUUACUUCUGCAUACCAUCAACGAUGUUUGCAUCUUCAUCAAGGCUAGACAUCUCUGCCUGUGAACUUGGGAUGGAUGGAAGAUGUCUGUGGAAGGAUGCAGAUGAUGAGACCAUUAAAAACUCAACUGUUAUGGACAGUCUUUUUCAAAUUAUUGUUAUUAUUAUUAUUAUUGUGUGUAUUUUAUUAUUCCGUAGUAUCUGACCACCCUCUCUAUUAAAAAUCAUACUUAAUGUUGUCACUUAUGGUACAGUAUACACAUAGCACCAUAGAAACUAGCCAUGGAGUUAGCCCUUACUACUGCAUGAAUGUCUGAAGGAUAGGUACCAUCAACUAUCCUUCUAUCCUGCAUCAAUUAUCCUGUCUACUGCUGCAUGUCCAUUUUUACCUAUCAUUAAGCUUCACAAAAACUUAAGUUACUUAAAAAUUAAACAUUUAAAAGUUUGUUGACAAAACAAUAAACAUGAAAAUUUUUUCUAUUACCUUGGCCAAUAAAAAAUUUAGAAUUUCUAGUUACUAGGCACACAGGACUCUAAAGUAUGCUAUACCUUGCCUGCUUUGGGCUACAAAUAUAUUCUAUUUUCUUGUGAUACCACCUUUACAGGAAGAGUUCUUGCUGACCCCAUAUGCUUGAUGGCUUUGGGGUCUUCUUUCCAGGGCUUCACAUAGCUGCUGUCUUCCUAAGGCUAAAUUGCCUAUUUGGCAGUAGAAUAAUGAAAGUCAUUUCAAGGUUGCUUCUGUCAAAGCCACCAGGUCCAGCAUUCUGGGGACUGCUCUGUAUAUAAAGUGCUUAAUUGAAAUUAAUCAAUGCUACAAAUCAAUUCAGGAUUUAUCAUCAAACACUGUUUUCUGAACAAGACCAGGAAAGAAAUCCCUGGUCUCAUAGAACUCAGGAACACCACGAAGUGGAAGCUUCAU